AUUUACAAAGUUGUGGGUUUCCAGAGGGAAGGAAAAAAAUGCAUUCUUAGUUUUGAUUAACCCAACACCCCUCUUCUCCCUGACUUCCCAUCCGCACUUAGGUGACCCACCCCUUGGAAACCAAAGUUACUAUUUUGACCCACCCCUUGGAAACCAAUGUUAAUAUUCUGACCUGGCGUGUUUUCCUGCACGCGCGAGAUACCCUCGGGGUCCCCACGUAAUAAUUCAUAACAUUGGUGCUAGUGACUGGGCAGGGGUCCUCCUGGCGCAUUUCUCCUGCCUGCCCGCACUCUGAGACACUCUGAGACACGCUAGGAGCCCUGGAACCUUCAACACUCACUCAGCCAACACCGGCGUAAUUAGUAAGCCCCUGACCCUCCUCUGUCUGUAUUCCAGCAGGCUGGCAGAAACACCAAAGCAGCAGUUGUGAACCACACCUGUGGCGCUUUCCCUGCCACAGAUGCCAGCAGAGACUCUUGUCUACUUGACGUGGAACAGCCCAGUCAAACAUAAUUGAUCCUUGCCUCUAUAGCCAGUCCUCAGAUACCUGUAGAGAUCUGAGAAUAUGGCAUUGAAUAUGAAAGCUUUUUAUGAUAAAGAGACAUGUCAGGUCCUGGCAGCAACCUGUAUCUUCUUCAAGAUGAUGAAUGGCUGCAGAAGAACCUCCACCCAGAAGCUCAUGGCAAGGCCGGCCACACAAGAAAAAGCUGAGAUCCUGUCUAGACUGUGAAUACUGUCUAGACCGCUUGUCCCCCUGCCGAGACAGGUAGGUUGAUCUCCUCAAAUUUCUACUCCACAGAAAAAUAUGUCAGAUCUUCUGGGCUUAUCAGCUGAACAAGUGCUUCCUCUGGGGCUCCUGACCCCACCCCCACCCCCACAACCACAGAGAGACUUGAGACUGCUACCUAGGCAGCUGGAAAGCUGUCUCACUUCUUAAAUUUAUCCUUCUCAGAUCUGAUGAUGUUUGAUGACCAGGGGGUAUCAGUUUGACAGCCCCAAUCCCAAGAUUACUGACAGUUCAUUAAUAAGUUUCCUAUUAAAAUUAUAGACAGGUAUGCCUUAUUCACAGACUUCAUGGUACAGGAUAGAAUGGUUUCAGAUAUAACUCCAGACGUUCAAAUUUUAAUAUUGAUAAAUGCAGCUUUGAUAAAUUGAUACAACAUUGACUACAAACAAUUCUUAAGAAUCCUUAAAUUUUCAUAGAUUUUUUUAAACCCUUUUGCUAUGAUAUAAAUCUAUUCCAGCUGUCUUACAGAUACCUACAGGUCCCUGGGAAAAAUUCUUCUACUGCAUCAAAAAAUCUGGUCUGACGAAACCUAGCAGUCUCCAGAGCCCAUUUUUGACCUCACCCAUUUUUGAGCAUAUUUUGCAGCUUCUCUCCUCCUGCCUGGGUCAAGGGGCUCUCCAGAUAAGUCGGUCCCUGCACCAGCUCCAAGGAUGCCAACCUCCAAUUUAGGACACCCACUGGGAUGGCUGCACCCCCACCUCCAGAGAAAUGGCAGAUAGGAUCAUGAAGAACACAUCCUUCAAUUCACUGCCGCAACCUCAAGGAACAGAUGCCUGAGAUCUCCACGCCAGAGAUUCACACGAUGACAACUGACAAUGCUUCUUUACUGGCGCCUUCCGGCUUCCCCCCUCCCCACUUCACCCCUUGUCAGCUUGAAGUAGCCGCAAGAAUUCAGUGCCCUUGUUCCCCUGCUUGCUCCCAUAACUCACCUCUUUUUACAAUAAUCAAACCACAGGAAUGUUAGUAUUCUGAUUCGCCCCUUGGAAACCAGUGUUAGUAUUCUGACCCGCCCCUUGGCGCCGCCCUGUGUCCUGGAGUAAGAGCUUCAUUUCUAAGGAAAAGCUUCUCCCCUUCCCCCCCUCCCGCUUUUCCUCCCAUGAGGUGUGCACCCUUGAUCUCUCUCUCUCUUCUCUCUUUUUCUCCCUCUCUCUUCCCUAUCUUUCUCUUCAUCUCUCUAUUAUAAUAAACUCUCCACAUGGAUGCAGCAUCUAAGUUGUGAAUUACUGGCC